rnacentral:rRNA from 1 species
AAUCAACGCUGGCGGCGUGCCUAACACAUGCAAGUCGAACGCGAGAGGGGCUUCGGCCCCGAUUGAGUGGCGAACGGGUGAGUAACGCGUGGGUGACCUACCUUCGAGUGGGGGAUAACGUCCCGAAAGGGACGCUAAUACCGCAUAACAUCCUGCUUUUGAAUGGGUGGAGAUCAAAGCCGGGGAUCGCAAGACCUGGCGCUUGAUGAGGGGCCCGCGUCUGAUUAGCUAGUUGGGAGGUAACGGCCCACCAAGGCAACGAUCAGUAUCCGGCCUGAGAGGGCGGGACGGACACACUGGGACUGAGACACGGCCCAGACUCCUACGGGAGGCAGCAGUGGGGAAUUGUUCGCAAUGGGCGCAAGCCUGACGACGCAACGCCGCGUGGAGGAUGAAGGUCUUCGGAUUGUAAACUCCUGUUGCCCGGGACGAAUGCUCCGACCUAACACGUCGGAGUGUGACGGUA